CCUACGGGAGGCAGCAGUGGGGAAUAUUGGGCAAUGGACGCAAGUCUGACCCAGCAACGCCGCGUGAAGGAAGAAGGCUUUCGGGUUGUAAACUUCUUUUAAGGGGGAAGAGCAGAAGACGGUCCCCCUUGAAUAAGCCACGGCUAACUACGUGCCAGCAGCCGCGGUAAUACGUAGGUGGCAAGCGUUGUCCGGAUUUACUGGGUGUAAAGGGCGUGAAGCCGGAGAGACAAGUCAUAUGUGAAAUCCGCGGGCUCAACACGUGAACUGCAAUUUAAACUGUUUCCCUUGAGAGUCGGAGAGGUAAUUGGAAUUCCUAGUGUAGCGGUGAAAUGCGUAGAUAUAAGGAAGAACACCAGUAGCGAAGGCGGAUUACUGGAAGAGAACUGACGGUGAGGCACGAAAGCGUAGGGAGCAAACAGGAUUAGAUACCCGAGUAGUC
rnacentral:rRNA from 1 species